GGGCCCGUGGUCUAGUGGCAGAACACCGCAUUUGCACUGCGGAGACGGGAGUUCGAUUCUCCCCGGGUCCA
rfam:Candidatus Yanofskybacteria bacterium RIFCSPHIGHO2_02_FTLL_46_19 rifcsphigho2_02_scaffold_268, whole genome shotgun sequence.